rnacentral:lncRNA from 1 species
AGUUUGGGUUUUAGCAACUGAUUGGAAAGUGAUGCCAUUCACAUUGGACACGUUUAAAUUUGAGACGCUAGUGGAACAACCAUGUAUAGACACCUACUCGGCAAUCCUGCAUAUGAUCUCAACAUCAGAAGAGAGAUGUGGGCUGAUGACACAGAACUGAGAAUAGCCAGCGUUGCCACUGGGAGUAACCAUCACAUAUGUGGCAAAAAAGGCCAUUGGCGCAGAUAUAAUCACCCAGGCGGGAUGUGUAAAAUGGAAAAAGAAGGCAACCUAGAAGCAGGAUUCAACGUAUCAGAUACAGUAAUGAAGACAAUAAGAAAUUGGAUUGAUCCAGGUCUGGAGUUUUGCCACAGAGUGAAAUGGAACAACAAUAUGCAGGAGAAGUGAGGAUACUGAAUUCUACUUGAAAAUUAUACAGAAACAAUUUCUUAGAAUGCUCACAAAAGACCUGAAAACAUGGGGAGGAAGCAGGGCAUUUACAGAUACUUGGCCUUUGGGAAGUAUCAACUGACUGUUCCAGGAAACUCUCCAAAUUGGCUUAUAACUCAUGCAAAACAACAUGCUGCAAUGUUCUGAUGAAAUGCUCCUCUACAGUCGAGGCUCCCAGAAGGCAGAGAGCAUAUUCAUUAACUCAUUCUGCUCAACACUUAGCUCAUGUCCAUGGAGAGAUGUUGAAUAUGAGCUCCUAUUAAAAAGAGGGAAUACAAUCAAUCAUUUGAGAAUGUCCAAAAAGAACUUUUCCUUUCCAUCGAGCCUUACAAAUUAUUCUAAGAUUGUUUCUGUAAAUACCAUGUAAUUGGGAGAGAUACACAGGGAGCGUCAAUUGUGUCUGUAAUGUUUUACUGCUUAUGAUAAAAAGAUCUGAAACUAAUGUGACAAAAUACUAAGAUUUCACAGAAUUCAGUGUUGAGU